rnacentral:misc_RNA from 1 species
GUAGAAAUGUGUUAUUCACUUCUAAAUGAAAUAAACCCCAUCCUCUCUUUACUGCAAUGGCCAAAGUACACCAAACAGUGGUCAUUUUCAACACUGUUGAAAAAGUCUCAUUGUAGUCCACUCUUUCCUUCUGUAUAUCUCCUCUAAUGACUAACCUCACCUUAAAUCGCUCAAUACUCCCAUCUGAAUGUUGUUUCACUUUAUU